rnacentral:rRNA from 1 species
CCUACGGGUGGCAGCAGUGAGGAAUAUUGGUCAAUGGACGAGAGCCUGAACCAGCCAAGUAGCGUGAAGGAUGACUGCCCUACGGGUUGUAAACUUCUUUUAUAUGGGAAUAAAGUGUUCCACGAGUGGGUUUUUGUAUGUACUAUAUGAAUAAGUAUCGGCUAACUCCGUGCCAGCAGCCGCGGUAAUACGGAGGAUACGAGCGUUAUCCGGAUUUAGUGGGUUUAAAGGGAGCGUAGAUGGGUUGUUAAGUCAGUUGUGAAAGUUUGCGGCUCAACCGUAAAAUUGCAGUUGAAACUGGCAGUCUUGAGGACAGUAGAGGUGGGCGGAAUUCGUGGUGUAGCGGUGAAAUGCUUAGAUAUCACGAAGAACUCCGAUUGCGAAGGCAGCUCACUAAACUGCCACUGACACUGAGGCUCGAAAGUGUGGGUAUCAAACAGGAUUAGAUACCCCUGUAGUC